rnacentral:rRNA from 1 species
UUGGUUUGACCCGAAGCUGGUGCGCCAACCGCAAGGAGGCAGCCAACCACGGUCAGGUCAGCGACUGGGGUGAAGUCGUAACAAGGUAGCUGUAGGUGAACCUGCAGAAGGAUCA